GAUGAACGCUGGCGGCGUGCCUAAUACAUGCAAGUCGAGCGAACAGACGAGAGUGCUUGCACUCUCUGACGUUAGCGGCGGACGGGUGAGUAACACGUGGGUAACCUACCUAUAAGACUGGGAUACCUUCGGGAAACCGGAGCUAAUACCGGAUAAUAUUUAGCUUCGCAUGAGGCAAUAGUGAAAGACGGUUCUGCUGUCACUUCUAGAUGGACCCGCGGUGUAUUAGCUAGUUGGUGAGGUAACGGCUCACCAAGGCAACGAUACAUAGCCGACCUGAGAGGGUGAUCGGCCACACUGGGACUGAGACACGGCCCAGACUCCUACGGGAGGCAGCAGUAGGGAAUCUGCCGCAAUGGACGAAAGUCUGACGGAGCAAUGCCGCGUGAGUGAAGAAGGUGUUCGGAUCGUAAAACUCUGUUGUAAGGGAAGAACAAGUACGUUAGUAACUGAACGUACCUUGACGGUACCUUAUCAGAAAGCCACGGCUAACUACGUG
rnacentral:rRNA from 1 species